CGGCUGGUACAAGAGCACGAUCGAUUAGGAUAUUGCACUUGUCCCGGUCUUA
rnacentral:pre_miRNA from 1 species